GUGGACGCUGGCGGUAGGCCUAACACAUGCAAGUCGCACGGCAGCACAGUAAGAGCUUGCUCUUACGGGUGGCGAGUGGCGGACGGGUGAGGAAUACAUCGGAAUCUACUUUUUCGUGGGGGAUAACGUAGGGAAACUUACGCUAAUACCGCAUACGACCUACGGGUGAAAGCAGGGGAUCUUCGGACCUUGCGCGAUUGAAUGAGCCGAUGUCGGAUUAGCUAGUUGGCGGGGUAAAGGCCCACCAAGGCGACGAUCCGUAGCUGGUCUGAGAGGAUGAUCAGCCACACUGGAACUGAGACACGGUCCAGACUCCUACGGGAGGCAGCAGUGGGGAAUAUUGGACAAUGGGCGCAAGCCUGAUCCAGCCAUACCGCGUGGGUGAAGAAGGCCUUCGGGUUGUAAAGCCCUUUUGUUGGGAAAGAAAAGCAGCAGGUUAAUACCCCGCUGUUCUGACGGUACCCAAAGAAUAAGCACCGGCUAACUUCGUG
rnacentral:rRNA from 1 species